rnacentral:lncRNA from 1 species
UUUUGCUCUUGUCUUCAUUACUUUCCCAGUUUCUUUGGAGUGCUCCUUCAGUUCUCUACCUUCCACCUCAACAAUUUAAAAGAGAGAGAGAGGGAGAGAGAAAGAAGUGAAUGAAAAUGCACAUGGAAGUUAUUAAUCCCUUCCCAACAUCCACAGGCAUACUGAUUUUCCAUACUUUCUUCGGGGAAUAAGAUCAAGUGUGCAGUGACUGGCUCACUUCUCUCUGAAUAAAGGUGCUUGAAGAUAGAAUACUAAUGUAAGCUUGGUCACUUUGUAGAAAUUCCCAAUAUAAUCAAUCAGGGUAGUGGCUCCCAGAACAUGAAAUUCACUGUGACCAAAGAUUAGUUAGCUCUCACCAUAAAUAAUUUAGAAAGACCACUAAACAAACACUUCAAUAGUUUCAUAGGGUUGCUAAAUAAACAAGCAGUACGUGCACAAGAUAAACCUUUUAAAGGAACAGCUAAGAGAUUUGGACUUUUAAAGAAUAUUUACCUUGGAACUGAGAUAAAACCCAAGACUAAGUUUAAAGAGACAGAGCAUUGAACACAGGCCCUCUUCUGUGAAUCAAAAAAAAAGAAGAAAUCCUGUUUCUGAUUUGUGGUAUUUUAAGUUUCAGGGUUGCAUUGAUACCGUGACAUCUUUUUCAGAGUCACGCAUGCUUUAGUAGGAAAAAACAAAACACUUUUAAGCAACAUAGAUAUUUAUGAGUUUGCUAUGUUGUGUGAUUUUUAUCAUGCUUUAGAGGCCAAAAUAUGUCAAUUCGAAAACAACUCUAUUUUAUUAUGAAAAAUAGUAUCUGACAUACAGAAAUUUUAUUUGCAAGACAAAAAUAUAUGCUAUAAAGUGAUUUGCAGCUAAACUAAAUAAACUCUUUAGAAAAAAUGUUGUUUAUUUUUUAAGUUGGCAACAAUGAGUCAUUGGAAAGGCAUUUUAUUAUGUACAAGCAAGAGUACACUUGAUGACUACGUUUUAACACUGCCUUUUUAGUAAUUAGCAUUGUAAGUUUGGAUGAGUUACUCAGCUUCUCUGAGUAUCACCUGUAUCUGCCAAAUACGGCAGUUGGAUUAAAUGUUCUCAAAUUGUAAUUCAAUGCUGAAAUCCUGGAAAUGUAUUUUUAACACCACAUAUUGCAUUUGCAUUCAGCACAUGGUAAGUAUUGAAUCAGAUCUUUGACAAUUUAUGUGAAAACCUGAAACAGUGAGACACAGCAUUUUGCAGAUUAGAAAAGGACAUUCCUUAUCUUGGUAAAGCAAUAUCUUGAUAAUAUGGAGUCCUGGAGUUGUUAUCACCAAACUUGGUUCUCUCUCCUACUGGCCACAAAGGACCUUUGGAAAGAUUAUAUGAACUCUCUAGAGCACCACUCCUUAAUUUGUAUACUGUCUUCUCAUAACUGUUGCAAAUAAUUAAGAACACAGAUGCUGAAUCGACUGUUGUAUUUUAAAAUCUAACUCUGCCUAUUAUGACUUGUGUGAUUUGGGAGGAGUGUGUUUCACUUCAGAAUGCCUCAAUUUUCCUGUCUGUAAAAUGGAGCUGAUCGCAGUACCAAAUUGAAAGAAUUGGAAAGAUGAGGGAAGAGAUCAUACGUAUAGCAAUCACAAUAGUGCUUAGCAUUCAGUAAAUACUAGUGUUCAUUUAUAUCAUUAGUAUUAUGAUGAUCAUUACUACAUCAUAAUACUAGUAUUAUGAUGAAAUUACUAAUAGUAAUUUCAGCAGCAGUGGUGCAUGAAAAGCCAAGUAGUAAGUAGAAAGAAAGCAGUUUUUGAGCGGCAAAGAGAAUAGAGUAAUCCUGUGGGCUGGAGCUAUUAAAGAAGGCUGGAAAAUGCAGUCAUAGUGAGCACUGUAUCUCACUUAAAAGAAAGAAGGUCAACAGAAAGGUGCUACAACCUAAGAAAACAAAAUAAUCAAAGAGGUGGAAGUGAAAAACUUGAGUUAGAUUUCCAGGUGAAGGCAGCAGAAUAAACACAGGCGUGUACUCUUGCUCCUUCCUGAAACAUCAAAAAAUAAUAAUAACAUUAAGGAAAUAUUUUUAAAGCAUAAAACCAUAAGAAAAAGAAUAAUAGAAGAGAAAACACCAAUCAACAUUUAGAAUCUUGUAAGCAGUUGGACUAGUGCUAAAUGGUUUAGGAAUCUUGACUAAUGUGAGUUCCAGGCUGGCAGUAGGAAAAGCUAAAAUGUGACCAAAUUUAUGGCAGAAAACCUCCACCAAAUUCAAGGAUGUUCAGAAUCAGGCACCCUAAGGUGCAAGUGAGGAUAUGGCUCAAUUAAAAUGAAGUAUUCCUUAAAAGUUUGCUUAGAAAAUACUUAAAUCUGUAGUACUUUAUUACACAUGUUGCCUGAGGCAAGGGAAACAAAAGCAAAAAUGACCUAUUGAGACUUUAUCAAGAUAAAAAACCUUCUGCACAACGAAGAAAAAGAAUCAACAAAACUAAAAGUCAGCCCUGGGAAUGGGAGAAGAUAUUUGCAAAUGAAUAUCUGAUAAAGGAUUAAUAUGCAAAAUCUAUAAAAAAACUUACCAAACUCAACACCCAAAAAACAAUCCAGUUAAGAAAUUGGCAGAAAACACAAAUAAACACUUUUCCAAAGAAGACAUCCAGAUGGCUAGACAGACACAUGAAAAGACGCUCAACAUGGGAUGCCUGGGUGGCUCAGUGGUUGAGCGUCUGCCUUUGGCUCAGGAUGUGACCUGGAGUGCGGGGAUUGAGUCCCACAUCAGUCUUCCUGCAUGGAGCCUGCUUCUCCCUCUGCCUAUGUCUCUGUCUCUGUGUGUGUGUGUGUGUGUGUGUUCUCAUGAAUAAAUAAAUAAAAUCUUUAAAAAAUGCUCAACAAAACUCAUCAUCAGGGAAAUACAAAUCAAAAACCACAAUGAGAUACCAUCUCACACCUCAGAAUGGCUAAAAUUAACACAAGAAACAGCAGGUGUUGGUGAGGAUGUGGAGAAAGGGGAACCCUCUUACA